CAGCUCCAUCACUCCCUGACAGGCCGCAGUAACGGUCACAGCACUGCUCCACUUCCUACGACGGAUCCCGCGCAGCUCCACUACUCCCUGGCAAGCCACGAUAACGGCCACAAUCCUGCUCCACUUCCUGCGACGGAUACCGCACGAUUCUUCCAUCCGCUGGCAAGUCGCGACAACGGACGUCGCUCCACUCCCCGCGGC
rnacentral:lncRNA from 1 species